rnacentral:lncRNA from 1 species
AGAAGACUUUCUGCCCUCUGGAGGGAGGAAGGGUGCUGGUGGAAGAUACUCAAGUAACUGCCCUUGGAAACUGACCUAUGAGCAGCACAGAAGAUGAAGGAGAAGAGGGACAUCAAGCAGAGAAAUGAGGAGGGUUCCUGAUCUCACCUGAAGACAAGCAUGUGCCCUGGAACAAGAAUUUUUCUGUCUUUCCUCAGUCCCAGAGGCAGGUUCUGGGACAGACUUCGGCCUCCCAAGGGGAUGUUACUGCCAAGCAAGAAGGAAACCCCAUAAAGGAGAUAUCCUGACUCUAGGGAAAGGUGGCAGCUUGGACAUGGACCUCCUCUGAAUUCACCCUCUUAUCUUUGGGCUGCACAAAGGUAGUGAUUUAUGUUUGUUACCUUUAU